AGUCACAAAAUCAUAGAAUUUGAAAAUCGGAAGGAACCUCUAGAAGACAAAUAUGCAAGAGCCUCACGUUAAAACAUAACCAACAAGUGAUCGUCUGACCUUGGAUUGAAAACUUCUAAGGGGGAAGAACUCACUAUAUCUCUCAAGAUGGCAUUUUCUGUCCAACAAUAUGCAAUUGCUUUGGAUCACUGAACUACUGAGAAGAACAAAGCCUUUCACAGGACAACCUAUUUCUAAGAAAAAAUAAUAACUGUGGUAUUCUAAAAUAAGCAUUUAGAAAUGUAGUCAACAGAGUGUCUUUCUAAAAUAGUGUUAUUUCCCUGUGGCAUUACUUCAUUUUCUGUUGUCCUACACUGUUUCCCAUUCACCCUUUACCCCCCCCCCCCCCCAUUCAUAGCUUCACAAAUGCAAAAUUGUUCAACACAGGCAAGAUCAAUUUAAGCAAUUUUUCUAUCACAUAAUUACUUAACCCUAAAAAGGAAGAAGGAAGGAAUAGCUAAAUAAGCAACUCAAGAAAAAGAAAAUAAAAUUUAAAGAAUUAAUCUUUGUCAUCUUCAAUAAAUUUUAUCACAGGAGAAAUGAUAUCUGUCAUAGUGAAUAUUGUGGCUCAAUAAGAGUAUAAGACUGUCAAAUUUAAUAGAUGUGUAAAAUUCCAGAACUUCUAGCAAUGAAAGUCAGAGGACCAAGAAAUAAAAAACUUACCAAGACAUUAACCUUAAAAAAAACAAACAAACAAACAAACAAACAAAAAAAAACAUGCAAUUUUGGGAAUAACCUAGAAACCUUCCCAAUAAGAUAAAGGGAAAAAUAAGGAUACACAUCACCCCCACUAUUAUUGAAUA